rnacentral:lncRNA from 1 species
ACCUUAUUCUACAAGCUUUUUUCUAUUAUUUAUUUAUUUUACUUUUAAAACUUUUUUAUAAAACCAAGACACAAACACAAACAGGGUCAGUAUCAUCAAUAGCACUGUCCUCCACCUCCACAUCUUGUCCCACUGGAAGGUCUUCAGGGGCAGUAACAUGCAUAGAGUAAUGGGGGAACCUGCCCCCAAUAUUUCAACAUAGGUUCUUUCUAUUUUCCGAAAGUGUCAGCCGGCUGAGAAAUAAAGAGAAAGAGUACAAAACGAGGAAUUUUACAGCUGGGCUGCCGGGGGUGACAUUACAUAUAGGUAGGAUGGUGAUGCCCACCUGAGCCUCAAACCAGCAAGUUUUUUAUUAAGGGUUUCAAAAGGGGAGGGGGUGUAAAAACAGAGAGUAGAUACAAAGAUCACAUGCUUCAAAGGGCAAAAAGCAGAACUACUGAUAAGGGUCUAUGUUCAGUGGUGUACAUAUUGUCUUGAUAAACAUCUUAAACAACAGAAAACAGGGUUCGAGAGCAGAGAAUUGGUCUGAUCACAAAUUUACCAGGAUGGAGUUUUUCUCCACGCUAGUAAGCCUGAGGGUACUGCAGGAGACCCAGGGCAUAUCUCAGUCCUUAUCUCAACCACAUAAGACAGACACUCCCAGGGUGGCCAUUUAUAGACCUCCCCACAGGAAUGCAUUCCUUUCCCAGGGUAUUAAUACCAAUAUUCCUUGCUAGGAAAAUAAUUUAGUGAUAUUUCUCCUACUUGUACAUCUGUUUAUAGGCUCUCUGCAAGUAGAAAAAUAUGGCUCUUUUUGCCUGACCCCACAGGCAGUCAGACUUUAUGGUUGUCUUCCCUUGUUCCCUAAAAAUUGCUGUUAUUCUGUUCUUUUUCCAGGUGCACUGAUUUCAUAUUGUUCAAACACACAUGUUUGACAAUCAAUUUGUACAGUUAACACAAUUAUCACAGUGGUCCUGAGGUGACGUACAUCAUCAGCUUACAAAGAUAACAGGAUUAAGAGAUAAAAGUAAAGACAGGCAUGAGAAAUUAUAAAAGUAUUAUUUGGAAACUGAUAAAUGUCCAUAUUAAAAUGAAAUCUUCACAAUUUAUGUUCCUCUGCCGUGGCUCCAGCCGGUCCCUCCGUUCGGGGUCCCUGACUUCCCACAACAAUGGAGUUGUCAUCUCCUAUGAUAAUAAUGCCUUCUUCUGGAAACCUCCUGAAGGACCUGCCUGAGGUUGUUUCAUAGUUAACUUAAAAAAAAAUAAGUAGUAAGCAUAUACUCUAAAAUAACAAUACAAACUGUAGAAUAGUAAAUACAUAGAACAUUAACAUCAUCAUUUGUUAUUUUCAUCAAGCAUUAUGCACCAUACAUAAUUUUAUGUUCACACCCACAUCACCACAAACAUGUAAGUAAUGCAUAACACUGUGACAUUACAACAGAUGUUGUAAUGAUGGUGCUAUAUGUGAUAGUUCCAUUAUAAUCUUAU